UGGCUUAGUGGUAGAGUGCUUGCCUAGCAUGCAUGAGGCUCUGGGUUCAAUUCCUUG
rnacentral:tRNA from 1 species